rnacentral:misc_RNA from 1 species
UCUCCGUUGGUGAACCAGCGGAGGGAUCAUUACCGAGUUUACAACUCCCAAACCCCUGUGAACAUACCUAUCGUUGCCUCGGCGGUGCCCGCUCCGGCGGCCCGCCAGAGGACCCCCAAACUCUUGUUUUAUACAGUAUCUUCUGAGUAACACGAUUAAAUAAAUCAAAACUUUCAACAACGGAUCUCAUGGUUCUG